CUGGAACCCAGUCAAGCCGCUGCAUGAAGGAAAGCACAAACAAACUUAGUUCAGAGACAAUGGUAACUCAAUUGCUGGACGCAUCAAUUCGAAUCCUAAUCUGGCCAUCGUCUAUCACUGAAGUGAAGCGAAGGCAGGAACUUCAAACAGCUAUUCACUUCACACCCACGGUCAAGAGCAGAGAUAAAUAAAUGCGUGCAUUCUCGCUUGCCUGCU